UGGGGCGCAAGCCUGAUCCAGCCAUGCCGCGUGUGUGAAGAAGGUCUUCGGAUUGUAAAGCACUUUAAGUUGGGAGGAAGGGCAGUAAGUUAAUACCUUGCUGUUUUGACGUUACCGACAGAAUAAGCACCGGCUAACUCUGUGCCAGCAGCCGCGG
rnacentral:rRNA from 1 species